AGAGUUUGAUUAUGGCUCAGGAUGAACGCUGGCGGCGCGCCUAACACAUGCAAGUCGAGCGAGAAGCCAACGACGGACGCUUCGGUUGAAGUCGAUGGCGGAAAGCGGCGGACGGGUGAGUAACGCGUAGGCAACUUGCCCCUCGCUGGGGGACAGCCUCGGGAAACCGGGAUUAACACCCCAUGAAGCUUUCGUGGCGCAUGCCAUGGAAGCCAAAGGGAACGGCGAGGGAUGGGCCUGCGUCCGAUUAGUUAGUUGGCGGGGUGACGGCCCACCAAGGCGACGAUCGGUAGCCGACCUGAGAGGGUGAACGGCCACAUUGGAACUGAGACACGGUCCAAACUCCUACGGGAGGCAGCAGUGGGGAAUCUUGCACAAUGGGCGAAAGCCUGAUGCAGCGACGCCGCGUGAGCGAAGAAGGCCUUUGGGCCGUAAAGCUCUGUCGGGAGGGAAGAAGGAAGCGACGGUACCUCCCAAGGAAGCCCCGGCUAACUACGUGCCAGCAGCCGCGGUAACACGUAGGGGGCGAGCGUUAUCCGGAAUCAUUGGGCGUAAAGGGUACGUAGGCGGCCUUUUAAGCGCGGGGUCUAAGGCGGUGGCCCAACCACCGUUCG
rnacentral:rRNA from 1 species